rnacentral:tRNA from 1 species
ACCCAGCUGGCUCAGUCGGGAGAGCAUGUGACUCAUGAUGUUGAGGUCAUGAGUUUGAGCCCCAUGUUGGGUG